rnacentral:rRNA from 1 species
AUUGAACGCUGGCGGCAGGCCUAACACAUGCAAGUCGAGCGGAGCGGCAGACGGGUGAGUAAUGCCGAGGAAUCUGCCUGGUAGUGGGGGAUAACGUCGGGAAACGGGCGCUAAUACCGCAUACUAUCAGAUGAGCCUAGUGCGGAUUAGCUAGAUGUUGGGGUAAAGGCCUACCAAGGCGCCGAUCCGUAACUGGUCUGAGAGGAUGAGCAGUCACACUGGAAUUGAGCCACGGGCCAUACUCCUCAGGUAGGCAGCAGUGGGGAAGAUUGGACAAUGGGCGAAAGCCUGCCCCAGCCAUGCCGCGUGUGUGAAGAGGGUCUUCGGUCGGUAAAGCCCUUUAAGUUGGGAGGCGUUACCAACAGAAGAAGCACCGGCUAACUUCGUGCCAGCAGCCGCGGUAAUAC